UACGUAGGGGGCAAGCGUUGUCCGGAUUUAUUGGGCGUAAAGGGCUCGUAGGCGGUUUGUCGCGUCGGGAGUGAAAACACCGGGCUUAACUCGGUGCUUGCUUUCGAUACGGGCAGACUAGAGGUAUGCAGGGGAGAACGGAAUUCCUGGUGUAGCGGUGAAAUGCGCAGAUAUCAGGAGGAACACCGGUGGCGAAGGCGGUUCUCUGGGCAUUACCUGACGCUGAGGAGCGAAAGUGUGGGGAGCGAACAGG
rnacentral:rRNA from 1 species